rnacentral:rRNA from 1 species
CCCUUAGAUGUUCUGGGCCGCACGCGCGCUACAUUGAUGCAUUCAACGAGUCUAAAACCUGCUCUGAUAGGGGUGGGUAAUCUUUUGAAUGUGCAUCGUGAUUGGGAUAGAUGAUUGCAAUUUUUCAUCUUCAACGAGGAAUGCCUAGUAAACGCAAGUCAUCAGCUUGCAUUGAUUACGUCCCUGCCCUUUGUACACACCGCCCGUCGCUCCUACCGAUUGAAUGAUCCGAUGAAUAUCAUGGAUUGAGGAUGCAAGUAGGUUCGCCUAUCUUCAUCUUCGAGAAGUGAAGUAAAUCUUAUCAUUUAGAGGAAGGAGAAGUCGUAACA